AAAGCCCCUCCUUACAAACUAGAUCGAGCCCCUCUGUUCUUGUAUGGAUGUAUCUGUAUCAAUCAGCCAGUAUUAGGUGCUUGGGAUGCCAAAGGCACAAAGACAAGGCUCGGAGUCCAAUCCGUCCUCCGUAAGGGAGCUUACGGGGUUUUCAGGGGGAAUGAUGCUCACAACUGAAUGAAUAGGUGGAUGGAUGAAUGGAUGGAAGAAUGAGUGGAUGGAUGGAUGGGUGGAUGAAUAGGUGGAUGGAUGGAAGGAUGGAUGAAUAGGUGGAUGGAUGGAUGGGUGGAUGAAUAGGUGGAUGGAUGGAAGGAUGGAUGGAUGAAUAGGUGGAUGGAUGGAUGGAUGAAUAGGUGGAUGGAUGGAUGGAUGAAUAGGUGGAUGGAUGGAAGGAUGGAUGGAUGAAUAGGUGGAUGGAUAGAUGGAUGAAUAGGUGGAAGAAUGGAUGGAUGGAUGGAUAGAUGGGUGGAUGGAUGGGUGGAUGAAUAGGUGGAUGGAAGGAUGGGUGCAUGAAUAGGUGGAUGGAUGGAUGGGUGCAUGAAUAGGUGGAUGGAUAGAAGGAUGGAUGGAUGAAUAGGUGGAAGAAUGGGUGGAUGGAGGACUAAAUAGCCAAACAGAGUAAGCACUGGGGAUACGAAAAGAAAAGCUAGGACAGCCUCGGUCUGCAAAGGCUUUACACUCUAAUGGGAGAUACGGCCAUGGGUGGCCAAGGGGAGGUUUUUUGGUUUUGAAAGCUACCAGGAUGAGAAGUAAAGGCGUGGGGGUGACCCUUUCUUUCUCUCAGAUUGACUCACUUGUAAUUCCAGAAGAGUCACACUUAAAGGAAUAUAUCAUGACUUUAUAUUGAAGGCGAUGUGGCCAUCUCCACUUUGAGUGACAUUUUAAAGCAUGGUCGCUCCCCUACUUCCUGGGGAGGCUCCCUGUUACCUCUGGGAUCAAUCUCCUGGGUUUCGUAUUUGAAGCCGGUAACAAGCGGGCCUCCAUCUCCCUUUCCCUUCUCAUACACAUGACUCCCCUCGGGUACUCCCUGGUCGGCGCCGUUCUCCUCCCCCCACGCCAGAUAUCCCAUUUCCUCUCUUGGUGCCUUUGCCUAGGCGGUCCCCUCUGCCUGGAAUGCAUUACCUCCGUUUCCUAGAAUCCCUAACUUCCUCCAGACCCAACUCCGGCUCCCGACGGCCCUGAGCCGCCUGAGUCCUCCCUCCCGUGCCCCUGUCCCGGCCCUGCAGGGCGUUCUGCGAGCCCCCACCCCGAGGGCAGGGGCUGCUGCGUUUGGGGGUUUCCUCCGCGCCCCGCUUGGCACGGCAGGCCCCUAACAGCGCGCGCUACAAGGGCUCGAUUUCCAAGCCUGGGCCGGCUUUCUGCCUGAUUCAGCAGGGCCUGUUUGGAGACUGCCAGACAGCGGUAACUAUAAUAAAUGAGACACCGCGAUGCGCGCGGGAACAGGAAGCGAAACUCGGCUCCUACCCGAACAGCUGGGACACCAACGCCGGGCUCCUUUCGUACAAGGUCUUGUG